rnacentral:lncRNA from 1 species
AUGUCCCGAAAUAAAUAAUCUUUGAAGUAAUUCUUGAUUCUUAGAUCAACUAGAGAACUCUUAGGAAACUUCCUCUCUUCCCACCAAAAAUAAUUAUAUAGUUAUCUUUGGGCGAUCUUGAAUCUUAAUUAGUACACUCACGUUCCCUGUGGAAAAUCGAUACUCUGGAAUACUCCCGGGUGAAAGCUACAUCGGUAUCCGUGCGCUUGCGGAUUUUUCUGUUUGCGUUUAAAAUACCCAACAGCCACGCACUUGCGAACCCAGUGUACACCCAGGAACACUCCCGGCCCCUCUCAAUCACCCAGACUUCCUCUUCUUCCCCAAC